AACGAACGCUGGCGGCAUGCCUAACACAUGCAAGUCGAACGAGACCUUCGGGUCUAGUGGCGCACGGGUGCGUAACGCGUGGGAACCUGCCCUUAGGUUCGGAAUAACUCCCCGAAAGGGGUGCUAAUACCGGAUAAUGUCUUCGGACCAAAGAUUUAUCGCCUUUGGAUGGGCCCGCGUUGGAUUAGCUAGUUGGUAGGGUAAAAGCCUACCAAGGCGACGAUCCAUAGCUGGUCUGAGAGGAUGAUCAGCCACACUGGGACUGAGACACGGCCCAGACUCCUACGGAAGGCAGCAGUGGGGAAUAUUGGACAAUGGGCGAAAGCCUGAUCCAGCAAUGCCGCGUGAGUGAUGAAGGCCUUAGGGAUGUAAAGCUCUUUUACCCGGGAUGAUAAUGACAGUACCGGGAGAAUAAGCUCCGGCUAACUCCGUG
rnacentral:rRNA from 1 species